AGGCAAGAUGUUGGCAUAGCUGUUGAACUGAGAACCUGCUAUGCCAACAUAUUGCCAUC
rnacentral:pre_miRNA from 1 species